AUUAGAAUGAGAUCAAAAGCAGAGAAACAGCUCAGUCACUGAAGCCAAGCCUGACGUUUCCAUACCCCGAGGUCACUCACCCUGAUACGCAUGAGAUUGUCCUCUGGUGCGGAUAACAGCCUUGCUCCUCAAUGAACUAUAACAACGGCUGUAAAUGCAUCUCCUGUAACAUACCUCUGUGAUUUGCAAAAGUGGGAAUAAAUCAAUGCAGGGAAGAGAUGCCACGUUAACCCAGAAGCUAAAUGUUACAUCAUGUAGUGCGAGGCUGGGGAAGAGAGAGCCUGCUUUUUCCUGGCAGUACAAUAUCUUUGCGCUCGUUGCCUCCGCCACAGCCCCAUUAAAACAAUCAUUCUGAAUCUGCGGGAAAUUGUCACCUCUUUCUUUCCUGCCAUGGCAGCUGGUAUUGGAGGCUGCAGACAUUGCUCAUUCCCUUCAAGGUUCUUAGCACACACGCAAAACAGAAAAUGAAGCUUAAUUUAUUAAAAAAAAAAAAAAAGUGUCAGCGUACCCUCAGGCUCAGCGCAGGCACCAGGGAGAAAAGAAAAGAUAAAUGCCUCUAGGUGAACUGGCACCGACUCUAAU
rnacentral:lncRNA from 1 species